CCUUGUACCAUCCUCCGGACGAAAACCAAUUCAAGGAUAAGCAUGUAGAAAGCGUUUUUGCAGCGUGUUUGGACGAGGGUUCGACUCCCUCCAGCUCCACAA
rnacentral:tmRNA from 1 species